rnacentral:rRNA from 1 species
GACUCCCUACGGGGCGCAGCAGUGGGGAAUAUUGGACAAUGGGGGAAACCCUGAUCCAGCGACGCCGCGUGAGUGAAGAAGUGUUUCGGUAUGUAAAGCUCUAUCAGCAGGGAAGAAAAUGACGGUACCUGACUAAGAAGCCCCGGCUAACUACGUGCCAGCAGCCGCGGUAAUACGUAGGGGGCAAGCGUUAUCCGGAUUUACUGGGUGUAAAGGGAGCGUAGACGGAGGAGCAAGUCUGAUGUGAAAAUCCGGGGCCCAACCCCGGAACUGCAUUGGAAACUGUUUAUCUAGAGUGUCGGAGG